ensembl:rRNA Gm22651 predicted gene, 22651
GUCUACUGCUGUACCACCCUGAGAUGUACCCAAUCUUGCUGAUCUUGGAAGCUAAGCAGGGUCAGGCCUUGUUAGUAUCUGGUUGGGAUAAACA